GAUGAACGCUGGCGGCGUGCUUAACACAUGCAAGUCGAACGGUGAAGGCUGAGCUUGCUCUUCUGGAUCAGUUGCUAACGGGUGAGUAACACGUGAGCAAUCUGCCCCUGACUCUGGGAUAAGCGCUGGAAACGGCGUCUAAUACUUGAUACGAGCUGCGCAGUCAUCUUCAGCAGCUGGAAAGAAUUUCGGUCAGGGAUGAGCUCGCGUCCUAUCAGCUUGUUGGUGAGGUAAUGGCUCACCAAGGCGUCGACGGGUAGCCGGCCUGGGAGGGUGACCGGCCAAACGGGGAUUGAGAAACGACCAAGAGUCCAACGGGAGGAAGAAGGGGGAAAAAUGGAAAAAGGGGCGAAAGCAGGAGGCGGAAACGCCGGGUGAGGGAGGACGGCCUUAGGGUGGUAAACGUCUUUGAGCAGGGAAGAAGAGAAAGUGACGGUACCGGCAGAAAAAGCGCCGGCUAACUACGUG
rnacentral:rRNA from 1 species